AGUGAACGCUGGCGGUAGGCCUAACACAUGCAAGUCGAACGGCAGCACAGGAGAGCUUGCUCUCUGGGUGGCGAGUGGCGGACGGGUGAGGAAUACAUCGGAAUCUGCCCAGUCGUGGGGGAUAACGUAGGGAAACUUACGCUAAUACCGCAUACGACCUUCGGGUGAAAGAGGGGGAUCGCAAGACCUCUCGCGAUUGGAUGAGCCGAUGUCGGAUUAGCUAGUUGGCGGGGUAAUGGCCCACCAAGGCGACGAUCCGUAGCUGGUCCGAGAGGAUGAUCAGCCACACUGGAACUGAGACACGGUCCAGACUCCUACGGGAGGCAGCAGUGGGGAAUAUUGGACAAUGGGCGCAAGCCUGAUCCAGCCAUACCGCGUGGGUGAAGAAGGCCUUCGGGUUGUAAAGCCUUUUUGUUGGGAAAGAAAUCUUUCAGGCUAAUACCCUGGGAGGAUGACGGUACCCAAAGAAUAAGCACCGGCUAACUUCGUG
rnacentral:rRNA from 1 species